rnacentral:rRNA from 1 species
GAUGAACGCUGGCGGCGUGCCUAAUACAUGCAAGUCGAGCGAACAGACGAGGAGCUUGCUCCUCUGACGUUAGCGGCGGACGGGUGAGUAACACGUGGAUAACCUACCUAUAAGACUGGGAUAACUUCGGGAAACCGGAGCUAAUACCGGAUAAUAUAUUGAACCGCAUGGUUCAAUAGUGAAAGACGGUUUUGCUGUCACUUAUAGAUGGAUCCGCGCCGCAUUAGCUAGUUGGUAAGGUAACGGCUUACCAAGGCGACGAUGCUUAGCCGACCUGAGAGGGUGACCGCCCACACUGGAACUGAGACACGGUCCAGACUCCUACGGGAGGCAGCAGUAGGGAAUCUUCCGCAAUGGGCGAAAGCCUGACGGAGCAACGCCGCGUGAGUGAUGAAGGUCUUCGGAUCUUAAAACUCUUUUAUUAGGGAAGAACAAAUGUGUAAGUAACUAUGCACGUCUUGACGGUACCUAAUCAGAAAGCCACGGCUAACUACGUG